UACGAAGGGGGCUAGCGUUGCUCGGAAUCACUGGGCGUAAAGCGCACGUAGGCGGACUCUUAAGUCAGGGGUGAAAUCCUGGAGCUCAACUCCAGAACUGCCUUUGAUACUGGGAGUCUGAGUUCGGGAGAGGUGAGUGGAACUGCGAGUGUAGAGGUGAAAUUCGUAGAUAUUCGCAAGAACACCAGUGGCGAAGGCGGCUCACUGGCCCGAUACUGACGCUGAGGUGCGAAAGCGUGGGGAGCAAACAGG
rnacentral:rRNA from 1 species